rnacentral:rRNA from 1 species
UCCUACGGGGCGCAGCAGUAGGGAAUCUUCCACAAUGGACGAGAGUCUGAUGGAGCAACGCCGCGUGAGUGAAGAAGGGUUUCGGCUCGUAAAGCUCUGUUGGUAGUGAAGAAAGAUAGAGGUAGUAACUGGCCUUUAUUUGACGGUAAUUACUUAGAAAGUCACGGCUAACUACGUGCCAGCAGCCGCGGUAAUACGUAGGUGGCAAGCGUUGUCCGGAUUUAUUGGGCGUAAAGCGAGGGCAGGCGGGUCCAAUAAGCUGG